rnacentral:rRNA from 1 species
UUAAUACAACUUUCGACAACGGAUCUCUUGGCUCUCGCAUCGAUGAAGAACGCAGCGAAAUGCGAUAAGUAAUGUGAAUUGCAGAAUUCAGUGAAUCAUCGAAUCUUUGAACGCACCUUGCGCCCUUUGGUAUUCCGAGGGGCAUGCCUGUUUGAGUG